UACGUAGGGGGCGAGCGUUGUCCGAAGUUACUGGGCGUAAAGCGCGCGUAGGCGGGUCUCUAAGUCUGGUGUGAAAGGUUCAGGGCUCAACCCGAAGAGUGCACUGGAUACUGGGGACCUUGAGUUGGGCAGAGGAGAGGGGAAUUCCUGGUGUAGGGGUGAAAUCUGUUGAUAUUAGGAAGAACACCGGUGGCGAAGGCGGACUCCUGGCUGAAUACUGACGCUGAGGUGCGAAAGCAUAGGGAGCAAACAGG
rnacentral:rRNA from 1 species